rnacentral:rRNA from 1 species
GAUGAACGCUGGCGGCGUGCCUAAUACAUGCAAGUCGAGCGAACGGACGAGAAGCUUGCUUCUCUGAUGUUAGCGGCGGACGGGUGAGUAACACGUGGACAACCUACCUAUAAGACUGGGAUAACUUCGGGAAACCGUAGCUAAUACCGGAUAAUAUUUUGAACCGCAUGGUUCAAAAGUGAAAGACGGUCUUGCUGUCACUUAUAGAUGGAUCCGCGCUGCAUUAGCUAGUUGGUAAGGUAACGGCUUACCAAGGCAACGAUGCAUAGCCGACCUGAGAGGGUGAUCGGCCACACUGGAACUGAGACACGGUCCAGACUCCUACGGGAGGCAGCAGUAGGGAAUCUUCCGCAAUGGGCGAAAGCCUGACGGAGCAACGCCGCGUGAGUGAUGAAGGUCUUCGGAUCGUAAAACUCUGUUAUUAGGGAAGAACAUAUGUGUAAGUAACUGUGCACAUCUUGACGGUACCUAAGCAGAAAGCCACGGCUAACUACGU